GCGGGCGUGGCGAAAUCGGUAGACGCAACGGACUUAAAAUCCGUUGGGAGCAAUCCCGUGCCGGUUCAAGUCCGGCCGCCCGCACCA
rnacentral:tRNA from 2 species